rnacentral:rRNA from 10 species
UCCGUAGGUGAACCUGCGGAGGAUCAUUAC